GCGGGGUUGGUGUAGUUGGUUAUCACGUCAGUCUAACACGGCAUUUCGGAGCGAUUCGAGGUCCUGUAAGUGCACUGAAGGUCGCGAGUUCAAGUCUCGCAUCCCGUA